rnacentral:rRNA from 1 species
UAAGGAAUAUUGGUCAAUGGAGGGAACUCUGAACCAGCCAUGCCGCGUGAAGGAUGACGGCCCUCUGGGUUGUAAACUUCUUUUGGAUGGGGCGAAAAAACGGGAUUUAUCCUGGACUGACGGUACCAUCAGAAUAAGCACCGGCUAACUCCGUGCCAGCAGCCGCGGUAAUACGGAGGGUGCAAGCGUUAUCCGGAAUCACUGGGUUUAAAGGGUGCGUAGGCGGUUGUAUAAGUCAGGGGUGAAAGGAUGCAGCUUAACUGUAUAAUUGCCUUUGAUACUGUAUGACUUGAAUAAGGUUGAGGUUGGCGGAAUGUGACAUGUAGCGGUGAAAUGCUUAGAUAUGUCAUGGAACACCGAUUGCGAAGGCAGCUGACUGGGCCUUUAUUGACGCUGAGGCAC